UUCUGCAGACAUUGAA
rnacentral:sRNA from 1 species